AGAGCGAACGCUGGCGGCAGGCCUAACACAUGCAAGUCGAACGGACUCUUCGGAGUUAGUGGCGGACGGGUGAGUAACACGUGGGAACGUGCCUUUAGGUUCGGAAUAGCUCCUGGAAACGGGUGGUAAUACCGAAUGUGCCCUUCGGGGGAAAGAUUUAUCGCCUUUAGAGCGGCCCGCGUCUGAUUAGCUUGUUGGUGAGGUAAUGGCUCACCAAGGCUACGAUCAGUAGCUGGUCUGAGAGGAUGACCAGCCACACUGGAACUGAGACACGGUCCAGACUCCUACGGGAGGCAGCAGUGGGGAAUUUGGACAAUGGGCGCAAGCCUGAUCCAGCAAUGCCGCGUGCAGGAUGAAGG
rnacentral:rRNA from 1 species